rnacentral:sRNA from 1 species
GUGUACACGCGUACACUCUGGCUCCGGAGCGUCGCCACACCCACCUGACGACUGCCCGUGACGUUCUAUUAGCC